CCCCAGCCCCGCAGCCUCCAGUCGGUCUCCUGCGCCCGCCCCCUCGAGACCUGGAAUUGUGGCCACGUUCACCGCCCUGUCUCCAGAUUCACCUGGUCACUCCUCAGACCAAGACAGAGUCUGCGAAGCUUUCAGAAUAAACAACAGUUUCAACUAUAACCAUUAUCACUACCCACUGCUCAUCCUGCCUCCGCUGCCAACUUGUUCAUCACGUCAUCAGUUAGGCAUAACCUGUCUCCUGUAGAGGACACACAGCUUUGGAACCUACCAGUGGCAGCUUAAGGGAACAAGAACAAGUGGAAGAGAAAAGGCAAUGGUCUAGACUGGUAAGCAAGCAACUGCAUAAAAAGGGUACCGGAUGCCUGAACAAAAAGUAGACAAACCCUAAGCCCUGGUGACAGAGUUGGCGCCAUCCAUUAUUACUAUGACUUUGGGAAUUUACUUAAAUAACCUUUUUAAGGCUUCCUUAUCUCUAAAAAAGGAUUCUUUUUAAUCUACCUAACUUUAAGGAAUGCUGGUCUAAAUGGCGGUUUAAAAAAGAGGCUUAACAUAAAAUAAGAACCACAGCAAAAACUGACCAAAGUGUUACAUUUCCUCUUAGAUGAUACUAACACUCGUAAGCAUAGCUUAGAAUUCUAGGUGGCCUGAGAUUCUAUUAUACUUGUGAAUCUAGGAUUGUGAUUUCAGCAAACCUCAACAAAGAAACCAUCAUCUACAACCAUUUCUGAAAUUUAAAAGCAGCAAAACAUCUGUUCCCCCAAGCAACUUAUCUGUAAGUGCUAUGAACCAACUUGUGUCCCCCCAAAUUCACAUCAAAGUCCUAACCCUGGAUGUGAUGGUACUCGAGGAUGGAGCCUUUGGGAGUAAUUCACUUAGAUGAGGUUACAAGGGUAGGGUGCCCAGAUGGGAUUAGUGUCCUUAUAAGAGACAACAGAGCUUGCUUCUUCUCUCUCCACUAUGAGGACACAGUGAGAAGACGGCCAUCUACAAGCCACAGAGUCCUUACUGGGAACUGAGCAGGACCAGCACCUUGAUGGGAGGACUUCCUGUCCUCUAGAACUUUGAGAAAUAAAUCUCUGUUGGCUAAGCCACCCAAUCUGUGAUGUUUUGUUAUGGCAGCCCAAGCUAAUACAGGAAAACUUCCAUAGCACUUCAUGUGGUUCUACAAAUGUCAUCCCUGUUUACUGGCUGGACGUCAUAUAAAAGUGAUCCCCAAUAUAAAAAAGUGAUCUGCACUCUCAUUUUGGUGGUGGUUUAGGUCAUUUGCAUUUUGAGCGGUUUAAAAUGAUGAUACAGUGAACACUUCUGAACACAUAUCCUUGUGAAUCUGUCACCAGGAAAAAGUACUAGAAGUGAAAUUUAUAGUCAGCAGAUCAUUUGGAAAAAUAAGUAAGAAGAAUUCGCUGCUGUUUUGGUUGGAAUUGCAUUAAAUUUACAGAUUAAUAUAGGGAACAUGCAAUAUAUUCAAAACAUCAAAACUUUUCAUUCAAGAACAAGGUGUUUUCCCCCAAUAAAUCUUGCACCUUUAAUGACAUCUUGGCAUCUGCUUCUGGAAGACCCAAACUGACACACCGAAGAUGGAAAGUGUAUUAUAAAUUAGAAAAUGUGUAAUAUAGAUGUUUAAAUUUUUUUCAGAUUUUAAGUUGAAUGUGCUAAGUCAGGAUAUACAAUGUUUUAAAAACAAGACACAAAGCCUUUGUAUUUUAUAUAUGAAGUUUAAUUAAGAAGUGAAAAUUUAUUCAGGUCAAUUUAUUUGAACUCACACUGAAGAAGAAACAUUCAACUCCAGGAUUAGAAAUAAAAAUGUAAACAGUCUACUUCUUUUUGGGUACGGGGAAGAUCACACAAGCCUGAUUGACAAGAGUACUAACAGCUUUGCGAAGUUACUACUUAAACUCUGUAUAUUCAAGUAUAUAUCAAGUUCAUACUUGGUUUACACAGAAUUUAUUCAAUCCUAGCAAAGUCAACAUAAUUUAAGUAAACCUCCUCUCAAGUUUUACUUUAAGUCUGAAAGCUUAGAUUUGAUUACAACCACAACAAAAGUGAUUAUCUUUACUUCCUGCAGAUGUAAUCAACUUUUAAAAUAACUUAGGCAAACAUCAAUUUUACAUAAACCUUAUUAAGGGUAGGAGGAAAUUGGAACUGUUCAUCCAAUUCCUGAGUCUAAACCAUAAAUCCAUAUUGUACUGUUAUCUCUAUUGUCAAACCAAGCCAAGAAAGCCUAUUAUAGACUAGAAGUGAAUGUGAAUUUGCAGGGUCCACUAAGGGAUACUUUGAAAAUCUAUCAUCACAUUACUUUCAAGAAAUUACAGAAAUUAUUUUCAAGUAUGCUCCAAGAGUCAUCUCUUAAAUGAAGAACUAACCUUCAGCAAGUCAAGUGACAAGUAUUAAUUUACCUACAUUUUGUAUGCUAGAUGAAGGUAAAAAUUUAGGAUUGAGUAAUCUAUUUGAAAAUAAAAAGUAAACAAAAAAUAGAUUCUGGUUUUAUUUGAAAUAGGAUUCAUGUGCCCCAAGUCCCUUCCCAUUGGGUUAUAUCCAUUAGUCUAUAUUUCUACCUAGAAGCCAAUCCAUUUGAAAAGUUACCUCCAUUAUGUGUCCAACAUUAUUAACGUAUUAGUACAGACUCUUGUAGCACUGCUCACUUCUAGUAUGCCAUUAAAAAAAGGAAAAAAAAAAAAAACCUUUGUGCUUUGCAUUCAUUUUUUAGAAAUAAUAAA